ACCACCAUCUGUGUUGCCAUAGCAAAGUACAGGGGCAGCAAAUAUCUGGUCUAUGUUUCGACACUGCCCUCUCUAGCUAGACAUUUCUAAUCAAUUCCAGCAAUCCUUCCUCUUGACCCAGGAUAUUUAUGCCUCAGAGUCCUGUGCCCCGGGCAGCUGUUAGCAGAUGGGACGACUGAACGAUGAAACCUCUUUGCUGUCUCUGGGAUGGUGAAGGGCAUAAGCUUUGCAGGCAAAUGUGUUUAGGAGGUUCAAAUCCCAGUUUUGCCACUUACAAGUUGUGGGAUAUAGAGCAAGAUACUUACAAUAUUUAGCCCUCCAGGUGAUUCUGAGGUGCAUUAAACUAUCCGAACUACAAGCCAGAAGGCAAAGGAGAGCGGCUGGGCAAGGAGAAGUGCGGGAGUGAGAUUGUGGCCAAGUGGGGGCAGACCUGAUGAAAUUAGAGAAGGCACCUCCCCGUCAAGGAAGCUUUGUGUUACAGGUUCCAAUGGAAUAAAUAAGAAACCCCUUCUUGCUCUGAAUUGCAUAUGAACUAGUAUAAAAGGCACCCAAGUCUCUUUCAAAUCCAUGUUCUCCUUAAUUUAUACCACAAAUGUCAGUUCCUGCUGGCCCCUCUGGCCGGUUGUCCUCUCGUAGUCAUUCAAUUCAGUUCAAUAACUUCUGCAUCUAGGAUGGUUUUGAACUCUAUCUGCAGGAAUUUGAAAGGACCUUGUUGGAGGCCUGCAGCAUAUCAUAAAAAUUACGAUAAAAGUCUCAAUGUGUAUGAAGCCCAGUGCCACGGGGCGCCCAGUCAUUGCUUCAUUGAAUCUUCGUAAUGGUCUUAGUGCGGCAGGCGGCACUCUCAUUAUUAUCCCCAAUGCAAAUGAGGACACUUACCCACCCUUAGCUUUGAAAGUGACCUAACCUGCCAGUGUGUGAGCAGCAGGGCCAGGAUUCAAGCCCACGUCUGUCUGAUGCCAAAGCCCACUCUCUUAGCCACAUGCUUUAUGUGACAAAGGAGGAAGGAGUGAGGGAAAUCUGAGGCCACUGACAUCAUUAAGGUAGAAAAGCCAGAACCGGCUGCUCAGGGAUUCUAGAGAGAAACUGGAUGCUGGGAUUAGAGACUCUGCUUGGUGAUUUCAUCAUGAUCUGCCCUCAGCUCAGUCACGUGCUCAUGAACCCGGGAAAGCUCUCUCUAACCAUUGUGUGUGGACUGGGUCCGUCCGACUGCUGUUUAGCCUUCACAAAGACAGAGAAGCUCCACUUCACUAAGAUCGGGGCUCUGCUGUUUCCAUUGCUAUAGGAGGAGACUUCCCAGCACCCACAGAGACAGCUACCAUUUGCUGAUUUAGAAAGCAGAAUGCAAGUCCCACCGUCCUUGUGGGGUGUUCUGGGGGCUGUCCACCUCACGACCCCCUGUGCAGCUUGGAGAUGAGGGAGGAACUAUCCAAAAGACUGUUUGUAUUUUCCCAGGAAUCUAUGGAGUAACUUGCACUUUAGAGCCAUCUAUCUGUCUCCUAAUAUCUACUUAGAUGUUACUGAUCUGCGAGAGUUAGCCGUGAAGUGCACUCUUGAAGAACAAACCUGUGAUGGAGAAAGAAAAUAGAUGUGGUGGUUCCAUUCCCAGAUAAGGGGUUGCCCAAAUGUAAUAUCAGUAAGAAGAAAGUCGCAUUUCUGCAGAGAGAGAGAGAGGUGCUCUCUUCCUUGAUGAUUCCACUUCCAAGGGAUGGCUCCCAGGUCCUUGAGAAAGACUUUCCUGGGCGGGAAAACUGGUGAGAAGCUGGGAGAUGAUUUACAUCUCAAGGGAGUAGAGAAAGAAUUUACAAUGGAAAGUUUUCUAAAGUAAAUGCUGUAAGAAGAGGACGCUCAGGGACUUAUGUUAGGAAGAAAUCUGUCUAAAGAGUAGUCCAGCUGAGGGGAACUCCAAGGCCAUCUAGGUCAGAUCACCCGGCCUUUCCUUGCUCUCCAGGAAGCCAGGUCUCAGAAGUCUCCAACUGAUCGUCCCUUAACAGCGGGGGACCUCACGAUCAUCUGGCGAAGGGACUCUGACUUCCAGCCUCAUCCAACCAGGUGCAAACGAUUCCCUCUGCAGCCUGGUUUUCUGAAGCCCCGUGGGGGUAGAUCCUUGCAGUUUUCUGGCCCCAUCUCCAUCCUGGAGAGGAGAACAUUCACCUAAAUGACAUGCCCAGGACCAAAUGCAUCCACUUCUUCAGGCGAAAAACACGUUUUCAGCUCAGAGAUGAUUCCAUGAGACAAGAGGGUAGUAUGGGGAGGGGGCAAGAGAAUCUUGUAGCCCAAAGACAGAAGCCAGGGACAGAGAGUACCACCUUCCAGAAAUUACCAUCAUAAAGAGCCAAAGCAGUGAGUGCUUGGCCGCCUGCGGCACAGCGGAAAACGGAAAUCUCCUUGGCUGGCGUUUUAGUUUGCCUAAGGGGCCGCGCUUUGCUCAGAGGGGAGGUGACUGUGCUGACCUUAAAAUCCAGACCUCGGGAAGCAGGAGAUGAAGGUAUUUUAUUUUCCCCUAAAGUCUUCGAUAUUUUUCAAAUAAAAAUUUAAAAGAUCCAGUACCUUCCCCUGAAGCCUCUUCACAAAGUAGUGGAUUUUUAGAAAAGACAAAGACCUAGGCGGGGGGUAGGGGGUCCCUAAAGAGCCGCGCCUCAAGCCUGUCUUCCCUCUUUUCGGAGCACUGGGAUUUUCUUAAACGUUCCUUUCCCAACCCCUCCCCCCCUUUUCUUUUUCCCAACGACCUCUUCUUCCAUUCUCUAAAGUACAAGCAGACGGUUGCCCAACAGGUCCUCCUACGCAUCUUUCCUGAGCCCCAAUACCUCUAGAUACUCGUCUCUCUUUUGGGUGGGCAGCUGUUGCCCCUGCCUGGGAACGAGCCAGGCGUGCAGGGGGCGGAGGAGGGAGCUUCCUCCCCC
rnacentral:lncRNA from 1 species